CGGAAGCGGGCGACGCGGGGCGGCGACGGCGGCGCGGAUGACGUGCUGGACGGUGAGGCGGGUGAGGGAGCGGCCGUGGGAGUAAUGGCGGUCGUUCUUUUCCGAGCCGAGGGAGAUGCGGGCGGUGACGUUGGCGCCGGUCUGGUCGGUGUAGAGGCGCACGGUGCGCCACCACCCGGCGACGGAGGGGUGGGGGGCGGAGUCGUCGGAGAUGGACCGGAUGAAGCCCCGCAGUAUGUGCUUCUGCCGGCGAGACCAGGUCCCAUACCAGAUGACGUGAACGGUGGUGUUGGCGGUGAGCACAGGGCCCAUGUGGUAGCUCAGCCGCACAAACUCAGAGGAGCCCUCAUACUUCUUCGACUCCCCCAGGUCGACGGCGGCGGAGGCCCCCGGUUUGCCGGCGGCGGCGAGGUUGAGGACGGCGGCGGCGAUGGCCACCGCAGCUAGAAGGGCUACACGGGACGGGAAGGCCAUCGCGCGAGGAGACCCAGAUCGAUAGUUUUGGCGGGCCACAGAGAUAAG
rnacentral:lncRNA from 1 species